rnacentral:misc_RNA from 1 species
UUUCCGUAGGUGAACCUGCGGAAGGAUCAUUAUUGAAUAAAUCUGACGUGGUUGUCGCUGGCUCCCCCGGGAGCAUGUGCACGCCCGUCACCUUUAUUUCUCCACCUGUGCACACACUGUAGGCCUGGAUACCUCUCGUCGCAAGGCGGAUGCGUGGCUUGCUGUCGCUUUCGAAAGAAGGCCGGCUUGCCAUGAAUUUCCAGGUCUAUGAUUUCUUACACACCCCAAACUGAAUGUUAUGGAAUGUCAUCUCAAGGCCUUGUGCCUAUAAACCUAUACAACUUUCAGCAACGGAUCUCUUGGCUCUC